rnacentral:rRNA from 1 species
UAAGACGGAGGGGGCUAGCGUUGUUCGGAAUUACUGGGCGUAAAGGGCGCGUAGGCGGUCCUGCAAGUUAGGCGUGAAAGACCCGGGCUCAACCUGGGAGGUGCGCUUGAGACUGCGGGACUGGAGUCCGGGAGAGGUGAGUGGAAUUCCCAGUGUAGAGGUGAAAUUCGUAGAUAUUGGGAAGAACACCGGUGGCGAAGGCGGCUCACUGGCCCGGUACUGACGCUGAGGCGCGAAAGCGUGGGGAGCAAACAGGAUUAGAUACCCUGGUAGUCCACGCCGUAAACGAUGUGUGCUAGACGUCGGGGGGCAUAGCUCUUCGGUGUCGCAGCUAACGCAUUAAGCACACCGCCUGGGGAGUACGGCCGCAAGGUUA